rnacentral:lncRNA from 1 species
GAGAGGCCCGGGAGGCCUCGGGGGGUCGGAAAGCUAAACACAAAGUGGAGCUCUACUUGCACACAAAGUCAUUAACCAGUGUGAAAGCGAGGAGGAUUACUUUCACCAGCAACGUGUAUCGGUGAACAGCAAAUACAUGUGGAGAGGAACAACGUGUGCGGAGCAGGCGGAAGGAGCUUCUUUUGCAGCUGGUUUUAAGUCGAGGGGCCGCAAGCCUUGGGGCAGCGCUAGAGAGAAGCACAGCCUUCGGGCAGGACGCGCGUUUGCUCCUCUGAAGCUUCAGUGA